GACGAACGCUGGCGGCGUGCUUAACACAUGCAAGUCGAACGGUAAGGCCCUUCGGGGUACACGAGUGGCGAACGGGUGAGUAACACGUGGGUGAUCUGCCCUGCACUUCGGGAUAAGCCUGGGAAACUGGGUCUAAUACCGGAUAGGACCAUGGACUUCACGGUUUGUGGUGGAAAGCUUUUGCGGUGUGGGAUGGGCCCGCGGCCUAUCAGCUUGUUGGUGGGGUAAUGGCCUACCAAGGCGACGACGGGUAGCCGGCCUGAGAGGGUGUCCGGCCACACUGGGACUGAGAUACGGCCCAGACUCCUACGGGAGGCAGCAGUGGGGAAUAUUGCACAAUGGGCGCAAGCCUGAUGCAGCGACGCCGCGUGAGGGAUGACGGCCUUCGGGUUGUAAACCUCUUUCAGCAGGGACGAAGGGUGACUGACGGUACCUGUAGAAGAAGCACCGGCCAACUACGUG
rnacentral:rRNA from 1 species